CACGUAGGGUGCGAGCGUUGUCCGGAAUUAUUGGGCGUAAAGAGCUCGUAGGCGGUGUGUCGCGUCGGCCGUGAAAACCUGCAGCUUAACUGUGGGCUUGCGGUCGAUACGGGCAUCACUGGAGUUCGGCAGGGGAGACUGGAAUUCCUGGUGUAGCGGUGAAAUGCGCAGAUAUCAAGAGGAACACCGGUGGCGAAGGCGGGCCUCUGGGCCGAUACUGACGCUGAGGAGCGAAAGCGUGGGGAGCGAACAGG
rnacentral:rRNA from 1 species